AGUGAACGCUGGCGGUAGGCCUAACACAUGCAAGUCGAACGGCAGCACAGGAGAGCUUGCUCUCUGGGUGGCGAGUGGCGGACGGGUGAGGAAUACAUCGGAAUCUACUCUGUCGUGGGGGAUAACGUAGGGAAACUUACGCUAAUACCGCAUACGACCUACGGGUGAAAGCAGGGGACCUUCGGGCCUUGCGCGAUUGAAUGAGCCGAUGUCGGAUUAGCUAGUUGGCGGGGUAAAGGCCCACAAAGGCGACGAUCCGUAGGUGGUCUGAGGAGAUGCUCAGGCACACUGGAAAUGUGAUACGGUCCAGACUCCUACGGGAGGUAGCAGUGAGGCAUAUUGGACAAGGGGCGCAAGCAUUAUUCAGCCAUACCGAGUGGGUGAAGAAGGCCUUCGGGUUGUAAAGCCCUUUUGUUGGGAAAGAAAUCCAGCUGGCUAAUACCCGGUUGGGAUGACGGUGCCCAAAGAAUAAGCACCGGCUAACUUCGUGCCAGCAGCCGCAGUAA
rnacentral:rRNA from 1 species